UUCUUGUUUCUUCGAAGAUAUUUGAUAAAAUUGGAACGAUACAAAGAAGAUUAGCAUGGCCCUUGUGCAAGGAUAACACACACAAAUUGAGAAAUGGUCCAAUUUUUU
rnacentral:snRNA from 1 species